GAAGCAGAGUCAUGUCCGGGAGCAAAGUUGUAGACAUUCUGGAGAGAAGGUUUGAGAGGGUGGCCCAGGUCCAUGGCUGUCGGGGGAGGUGGGGAGAAGCCAGGAAAGGCCUCAGCAAGGAGAACGUGUAAGCCCAGGGUGAGUGGAUUUGGAUAUUCCUGGCUGAAGCCAUAGUGGGAAGGGAGACAGGGCCACAGGGAAAGCACUGCCUGGGCCAGAGCAGGAGUGGUAAGAAAUUGGCAAGAAGAACCGGGUGGGGUGGGGUCAUGGAAGGCCUGGACAGUGGCCUGAAGUGGGAAUUUGUCUGUUACUGUCAGGGGAGCGGGAGUCCCUGAAGGGCCAGGGGAGUGAGGAGAUGGAAGGAAGGGAGUCCAAGCAGAGGAAGGAUAGCUGUGAAGACAGAAGCAGGUUGGUUCUGUCAGGCCUGAGUUGGACUUGGCCAGCUUUGAAUCCCAGCUCUUCCAGUGCUCACCAUGCGACCUCAGCGUUGUCAUUUCACUCUUUAAGCCACAGCUCUCUUUCUCCAUUCAGUGGCGGCAUUGUGCGGAGAAUAGCGCGCGCUCUGGCUGCCGUGCGGAGGAGCUGGAUCUGGGAGAGGCUGCGGGCAGGGAGUCCAGUUAGGAGGCUGGGACCGCAGCCCAGAUGGCGGUGGGACCCCCCGACUGCCCUGUGGGAGGGCCGCUGACCUUCCCUGGCCGGGGUUCUGGGGCUGGGGUCGGGACAACCCUGACCCCCCUCCCACCCCCUAAGAUGCCCCCCCCCACGAUCCUGAGCACGGUCCCUCGGCAGAUGUUCAGCGAUGCAGGUAGCGGGGACGAUGCCUUGGAUGGAGACGAUGACCUGGUGAUCGACAUCCCGGAGUGACCGUGACAUCACGCCAUGCCCACCACGGCCCCGCCCGGCGCCCUCCCCGUGCCAGCACACACGAGUCCAGCUUCCUCGGAGGUGUUUAUUGAUGCCCAGCUGCCAUGCUCCGGCCACUGACACAACCAGAAAAGGCGUAAACAUGCACGGGUGUCCCCCAGGAGGGUGGCAGGGGCCCUGCCUUCAAACCCCGGCCCCCUCCAGGGGACAGUUAUUUAAACGAGUGGCCGGGAGCAUCUGCCACCUGCUGGGGAGGCAGAGACCCUGCAAUGGCC
rnacentral:lncRNA from 10 species